rnacentral:lncRNA from 1 species
CAGGUUUAUGCAUGGAGCAAUAUCCUCAUACUUCAACAUGGACUGAACAUCAAACCGUACAAUUCCUUCUGAAGCAUGCAUGUUUAGCUGAGGAGUAGCGCAAAGUACACCAUGAAAAGAAACUGUGUAAUUAAUGCUAACGUCGCUAAGGCUUGCCCACCACCGAGCAACACAAAAUUCAAUUGUUUUUCCAGCUAAGACAGGAAAUGCUUCAGUCACUGAUCCUUUUUCUGGUAAGGACAGAAAUUUGUAGAAUUCAUGACUUCUAUAUGCUUUUUGUUUGACUAGCUGAACAGCAUGAAGCACAAACUUGGCAGUCACAUCAGAGGAACAUGAACAUAUUGUCACUUCAGCCCACGUAGCUCCCUGGGGAACAUCAAUGAAGUGUCUUCGGAUUUGGCCAGGUUUAAAGUGAACAUCUGUAUAUGCAAGGUCGUAGCUUGAUGAUUCAUCUACUCUUGUUGGUAUAACAACAGUUACUGGAACUCUGAAGAGUGGACCUGCAUUAGGCAUUGCUAUAUCAUACCCACACACCUCUGUAUAAUGCACUCCUUCUCUCAGGCCACGUGGAUCCACACGAACAUUAAUGUGUCGACAUUGGUUCAUAAGCUCUAAAUGACUAGGGCACUGGACCCACG